UCCCCUUCUUGAGAGCACCUGGAAGGGCAGUUGCUCCUUGCGGGCAUAAGUGAAGGAGUAGAAGUGGCUGGUGUCCUCCAGCAGACUCAAAAGAAGGAUGAAGAGGCCAAGAGGGAGAAAGGAGGUGUACAGCAGAGAAUGAACUUGGAGAACUGUCUGUGCUGCUGCCUUGGCGCUCUGGGACUUCAUGCAUCAGUGGAGAUUCCAAGUUGCUGAAGAACAAAAAAGAAACAAGCCCCCAAAAACCUUUCCAGUGACUCAGCCACAUAAAUAACUCAAGUAAUACCAAAACGCAGGAGCCACGGCAUGUAAUGAACAGCUCCACAGCUGAUGGAAUGCCUGUACAUGAAAUUUUGAUAACUAUGCAAUCUCACAGAGACUACAUGAGGACCACAGAUAUUUUUCACUGCUAAAAGAAAAUACAAUGAAGCAGGAGGAAGGGAAGCUGUACUGCACGUGCUCUCUGAAGCACUAUUGAAUCCACUGAGAAGCAAAGAGGUGGUUAAAAAAUUGGGAAACAAGCCCCACCAAUUUCUGACACGGAGAUCCUGAGAGAUGCGAAGUUUUACAAAGUGCCUCAUCCCUGUGAGUGCCAGGCAGGCUUCCCCUUUCUGCUUCUCCCCAGAGAGCACAGGCAAGAGCCUGCUCAACACACCAGGAGAAGAGGAGCUGCUGCUGCAUUUUAUCCAGGUUUCCUGAUGAAGACAGGCACGAUCUGAAUAAACUACUUGCUGUUUUGGUCACCCUUCCUGGAGUCCUGGGAUCCUUAUUCCCAGACAGAAGGCCUACAAUUAAAGCUUCAGCAAGGAAAGGGUUACCUUGAUUAACAAAUAACAAGCACCUGUCAAAAGAGCCUCAGGAGAUAAAAGAGAGAACGAUAGCUCUUGGUGUAGGGAGUCUGACCUGCUUAAGCUCUGGGAAGAGAAUAAUUCUUCAGGAAGAUGAAAGAGGUACCUUGCUCACAUGAAUAAGAUUAGCCUUGGCCUUGCUACAGAAAUAGGCAAUUCUAUCUGGGUUAAUAGGCCUAUUGCAGAGGUGAAGAGAUGACCAGAUAGCAGAGCUCUGGAAUGGACUAGGACUGGCAUCCUCAGUUUCUAAACACAGUGAUGAAAAGCUUAGCAACGAUUGUGGAGUUGGAAAAUAACUGUAGGCUUGUGAGGAGGUAAAUUUGUAACAAUGAGAACAAGACCAUAGGCAAGAAAAGCAGCAGCUUGUCCAAUUCUUGAUGCCUUCAAGACUGUCUUGCUGGAAUAUCUGUUUAUCUUGGGGUCAAGACUGCAUUCUACCCUAUUUUUGUAGAGUGUGAAAUACAAGAAGUCAUGUCAGAUAACCUAAAAGCCUCUCUUGCCUUAAAGUCUGCAUCCUUCUCUCUUUCAGACAGUGACUUCCCAUAAAAUACUAAAGUUACUAUAAUCUCUUUGCUAUUCAUAGUGUAAAAAUGCAUUAAAAUUACAUGCCGUGAUCAAUAACAAAAAUUAAAAAGCUAAGUAAUCUUCUCUUCACCCUGAAAUGUCAAGGGAAAAAUUGGCAAGGACUAUUUCUAGACAAGGCAAUUCAGAUGGAAGUGCAAAAGCAUUAUUAAGGUUUGGUCAGUAAAUGUUAUUGAUAUGAAACACUAUUCAAUCAGUCUCUCUAAGGGAUUGCUUUAAAGCUUUUUGUUUCUUUCAAGUAAAUAGAAGCAAUUUCUCCUCAAAGUAAUUAUCGCCCACUCAGGUGUCGUUGUCCCUCCCUCCCCCAAGUAGUUCCUCUUGUGUGUUUAGGUAGUUACACAUCGUUUCAGCAUCUUCCUUUUUAGGUUGUGCAUUCUCCAAACUUUAUUUCUAUCGGUUUUUUACGACUCCUUUAGACAUUGCACUGGGAACAACCAAACCAAAACGAAUUGUAAUAAUUGACAACAUAUGCUUUUUAUCUAUGAUAGUUUUAAAUGGUACAAUUUCUAUAAUACUUCUGUCUGCCUGCUACUAUCAAAAUGCAAUUUACUUGUGAUUGUUGAAAAUUAUGCUUAACCACAUCUUGCAUCUCCGGUAGGCUCCUGCUAUCCGUACAUCCAUUUCCGUCUCGCAGGAAGUUUUGCGCUAAUCGGUUCUUCAUGACCGCUAUAAAUGCGCGUUUGGUGGAGCCAGGGUAACACAACUACAGUGAUUUUUAGCUUUUUCUUUCAUCGUGAAGCAAUCUGAUUAACUAGGUAGCUGACACGCGUCGAAGUGGUUUAAGCACAACAUCCUAAAGGUAUCAUUAAGCACUAAUUAACUUACCGACUCUCUCGAGAUGCUACGGC